rnacentral:rRNA from 1 species
AACGAACGCUGGCGGUGCGUCUUAAGCAUGCAAGUCGGACGGCAAGGCGCCCUCGGGCGCCCUAGAGUGGCGGACUGGUGAGUAACACGUGGGCGACAUGCCCUCCGGAUGGGGAUAGCCGGUAGAAAUACCGGGUAAUACCGAAUGCGCUUCCGCAGGCUAGAGUGGCGGAAGGAAAGGGGCUCCGGCCCCGCCGGGGGAUUGGCCCGCGCGCCAUUAGCUUGUUGGCGGGGUAACGGCCCACCAAGGCGACGAUGGCUAUCCGGCCUAAGAGGGUGGACGGACACAUUGGGACUGAGAUACGGCCCAGACUCCUACGGGAGGCAGCAGCUAAGAAUAUUCCGCAAUGGGCGCAAGCCUGACGGAGCGACACCGCGUGGACGACGGAGGCCGGAAGGUUGUAAAGUCCUUUUGCGCGCGGAGAAUAAGCGGGGGAGGGAAUGCCCCCGCGGUGACGGUAGCGCGCGAAUAAGGGGCGGCUAAUUACGUGCCAGCAGCCGCGGUAACACGUAAGCCCCGAGCGUUGUUCGGAAUUAUUGGGCGUAAAGGGCAUGCAGGCGGACGCGCAAGCUCGGCGUGAAAGCCCGGGGCUCAACCCCGGGACUGCGCUGGGAACUGCGCGGCUGGAGUGGCUGAGGGGCAGCCGGAAUUCCAGGUGUAGGGGUGAAAUCUGUAGAUAUCUGGAAGAACACCAAUGGCGAAGGCAGGCUGCCAGCAGACCACUGACGCUGAGGUGCGAAGGUGCGGGGAGCGAACAGGAUUAGAUACCCUGGUAGUCCGCACAGUCAACGAUGUACACUGGGUGUCUGCGCAUGAGCGCGGGUGCCGUAGCCAACGCUUUAAGUGUACCGCCUGGGGAGUAUGCCCGCAAGGGUGAAACUCAAAGGAAUUGACGGGGGCCCGCACAAGCGGUGGAGCAUGUGGUUUAAUUCGAUGGUACGCGAGGAACCUUACCUGGGUUUGACAUGCAGGGGGACGGUCCGGAGACGGGCCGGCGUGGCAACACGCCCCUGAACAGGUGCUGCAUGGCUGUCGUCAGCUCGUGCCGUGAGGUGUUGGGUUAAGUCCCGCAACGAGCGCAACCCCUACCGCCAGUUGCCAGCAUGCAACGAUGGGGACUCUGGCGGAACUGCCGGCGACAAGCCGGAGGAAGGCGGGGACGACGUCAAGUCAUCAUGGCCCUUAUGUCCAGGGCUACACACGUGCUACAAUGGCCGGCACAGAGUGACGCGAGGCCGCGAGGCGGAGCAAAACGCAGAAAACCGGCCGUAGUUCGGAUUGGAGUCUGAAACCCGACUCCAUGAAGUUGGAAUCGCUAGUAAUCGCGCAUCAGCACGGCGCGGUGAAUACGUUCCCGGGCCUUGUACACACCGCCCGUCACACCAUCCGAGUGGGGGGUACCCGAAGCCGGUUGUCUAACCGCGAGGGGGACGCUGUCGAAGGUACGCUUCGUG